rnacentral:tRNA from 1 species
GGAGAGAUGGCAGAGCGGUCGAAUGCGGCGGUCUUGAAAACCGUUGAAGUGAAAGCUUCCAGGGGUUCGAAUCCCUUUCUCUCCGCCA